UACAGGAGGGGCAAGCGUUGUUCGGAAUUACUGGGCGUAAAGGGCGCGUAGGCGGCCUGUUAAGUCGAAACGUGAAAUCCCCGGGCUACAACCCGGGAACUGCGUUACCGAUACUGGCAUGGACUUGAAGUCGGGAGAAGGGAUGACGGAAUUCCAGGUGUAGCGGUGAAAUGCGUAGAUAUCUGGAGGAACACCGGUGGCGAAGGCGGCAUCCUGGACCGGCAAUUGACGCUGAGGCGCGAAAGCCAGGGGAGGCAAACGGG
rnacentral:rRNA from 1 species